rnacentral:rRNA from 1 species
UACGUAGGGUCCGAGCGUUGUCCGGAAUUAUUGGGCGUAAAGAGCUUGUAGGUGGUUUGUCGCGUUGUUCGUGAAAUCUCACGGCUCAACUGUGAGCGUGCGGGCGAUACGGGCAGACUAGAGUACUGCAGGGGAGACUGGAAUUCCUGGUGUAGCGGUGGAAUGCGCAGAUAUCAGGAGGAACACCGGUGGCGAAGGCGGGUCUCUGGGCAGUAACUGACGCUGAGAAGCGAAAGCGUGGGGAGCGAACAGG